GAGUUUGAUCAUGGCUCAGAUUGAACGCUGGCGGCAUGCCUUACACAUGCAAGUCGAGCGGCAGCGCGGGGGCAACCCUGGCGGCGAGCGGCGAACGGGUGAGUAAUGCAUCGGAACGUGUCCUCUUGUGGGGGAUAACCAGUCGAAAGACUGGCUAAUACCGCAUGAGAUCGAGAGAUGAAAGCAGGGGACCGCAAGGCCUUGCGCGAGAGGAGCGGCCGAUGCCGGAUUAGCUAGUUGGUGGGGUAACGGCCUACCAAGGCGACGAUCCGUAGCUGGUCUGAGAGGACGACCAGCCACACUGGGACUGAGACACGGCCCAGACUCCUACGGGAGGCAGCAGUGGGGAAUUUUGGACAAUGGGGGCAACCCUGAUCCAGCCAUCCCGCGUGUGCGAUGAAGGCCU
rnacentral:rRNA from 1 species